rnacentral:misc_RNA from 1 species
AAACACCAAAUAUCUGGGCAC